UACAGAGGGUGCAAGCGUUGUUCGGAAUUAUUGGGCGUAAAGCGCGUGUAGGCGGCUUUGCAAGUCGGGUGUGAAAUCUCGGGGCUUAACUCCGAAACUGCAUUCGAUACUGCCGUGCUUGAGGACUGGAGAGGAGACUGGAAUUUACGGUGUAGCGGUGAAAUGCGUAGAUAUCGUAAGGAAGACCAGUGGCGAAGGCGGGUCUCUGGACAGUUCCUGACGCUGAGGCACGAAGGCCAGGGGAGCAAACGGG
rnacentral:rRNA from 1 species